AUUGAACGCUGGCGGCAGGCCUAACACAUGCAAGUCGAGCGGAGCGGCGGACGGGUGAGUAAUGCCUAGGAAUCUGCCUGGUAGUGGGGGAUAAAGUCCGGAAACGGGCGCUAAUACCGCAUACUAUCAGAUGAGCCUAGGUCGGAUAAGCUAGUUGGUGGGGUAAAGGCCUACCAAGGCGACGAUCCGUAACUGGUCUGAGAGGAUGAUCAGUCACACUGGAAAUGAGAAACGGUCAAAACUCCGACGGGAGGCAGCAGUGGGGAAUAUUGCACAAUGGUCGCAAGCCUGAUGCAGCCAUGCCGCGUGUGUGAAGAAGGCCUUCGGGUUGUAAAGCACUUUCAGCGGGGAGGCGUUACCCGCAGAAGAAGCACCGGCUAACUCCGUGCCAGCAGCCGCGGUAUAC
rnacentral:rRNA from 1 species